rnacentral:rRNA from 1 species
CCUGAGAAACCCAAAAGAUCGAAUGGGGAGAUUCAUCGUCAGCGGCGUUGGCUUCCGUGCGGCUCGCGAUGGCCGGGACCUCGGUCUCGCGUCACGCGGUCGCUGCGGUAUGCCCGGCGUCGUCGGCGUGCACUUCUCCCCUAGUAGGACGUCGCGACCCGUUGGGUGUCGGAUCAAUGGCCGUUUGGUCGUCUGCUGUCGUCCCUCGUGGACGUCGGCAGACCAUUCGGUCUUCAACGUCCGGCUGCUCGGCGGUAUAGAACGCUUAAUCACGGUACUGAGCCGCAUCGAAUGCGUCCAGGCUCGCCGGCAGGCUCGUCUCGCUCGGAUUUACGGACCUAGUGCCGUUGCCUUGCGCUUGGCGGGUUGUUAGUCGACGGUGUCCUCGGACUGGCUCUUACCGGUCGGCGACGCUACUGCUUUGGGUACUUUC